rnacentral:rRNA from 1 species
UACGGGGGGGGCAAGCGUUGUUCGGAAUUACUGGGCGUAAAGGGCGCGUAGGCGGUUCGCUAAGUUGGAUGUGAAAACUCUGGGCUCAACCCAGAGCCUGCAUCCAAAACUGGCGGGCUAGAGUUCUGGAGGGGGUAGCGGAAUUCCUGGUGUAGCGGUGAAAUGCGUAGAUAUCAGGAGGAACACCGGUGGCGAAGGCGGGUCUCUGGGCCGAUACUGACGCUGAGAAGCGAAAGCGUGGGGAGCGAACAGG